UUAUGGGCAUUUCUGUGCUGGAACUGA
rnacentral:piRNA from 1 species